GGGGAAUAUUGCACAAUGGGCGCAAGCCUGAUGCAGCGACGUCGCGUGGAGGAUGAAGGAUUUAGGUUCGUAAACUCCUGUUAAAUGGGAAGAAAGAACGUAAGUUAAUAGCUUGCGGAGAUGAC
rnacentral:rRNA from 1 species